AGAGUUUGAUCCUGGCUCAGAACGAACGCUGGCGGCAGGCUUAACACAUGCAAGUCGAGCGCCUCGCAAGAGGAGCGGCAGACGGGUGAGUAACGCGUGGGAAUCUACCCAUCUCUACGGAACAACUCCGGGAAACUGGAGCUAAUACCGUAUACGUCCUUCGGGAGAAAGAUUUAUCGGAGAUGGAUGAGCCCGCGUUGGAUUAGCUAGUUGGUGGGGUAACGGCUCACCAAGGCGACGAUCAGUAGCUGGUCUGAGAGGAUGACCAGCCACACUGGGACUGAGACACGGCCCAGACUCCUACGGGAGGCAGCAGUGGGGAAUAUUGGACAAUGGGCGCAAGCCUGACCCAGCCAUGCCGCGUGAGUGAUGAAGGCCUUAGGGUUGUAAAGCUCUUUUACCUGGGAAGAUAAUGACUGUACCAGGAGAAUAAGCGCG
rnacentral:rRNA from 1 species